UAACAGGUUUUAUUCAAAACCACUAAGAUUUUUCCCUAAUUUCAC
rfam:Picoides pubescens contig36508, whole genome shotgun sequence.